rnacentral:rRNA from 1 species
CCCUUAGAUGUUCUGGGCCGCAUGCGCGCUACACUGAUGCGAUCAACAAGUUUUUCCUAUGUCGAUAGACACGGGUAAUCUUUUGAACUCGCAUCGUGAUGGGGAUAGAUUAUUGUAAUUAUUAAUCUUCAACGAGGAAUUCCUAGUAGGUGCAAAUCAUCAGUUUGCAUCGAUUACGUCCCUGCCCUUUGUACACACCGCCCGUCGCUGCUACCGAUUGGUUGAUCUGGUGAAUUAUUCGGACUGCCGGCUGAAGGGGUUUCCUCAUCUGCCAGCGGAAAGUCUUGUUAACCCUAUCAACUAGAGGAAGCAGAAGUCGUAACA